CCAUAGUUGGCACAGAUAAAAAGAAGUGGCUAUGAUUGAAAAAACUACGAGAUUUUUCUUUUCUUUCAAAAGGAGGAAAAUUUCAUAAUUUUUAAGGAAAUUGAGGUCAAGUAUCGACUUCAACAUGCUCAACUUUUGUAUUGAUGAUUUCAUAAAGAUUUAUUGCAAAUUUGCUGGAGAUUUUAAUUAUAUUUGAAUUAGGAGUUAAUUAGUUGGUUUUA